rnacentral:lncRNA from 10 species
GCAUUGUUAUGAGAAAAGUCAUUUUAUUUUCAUUCUUAAAAGGACUUCAUGCAUGAGAUUGCCACUUCACAGAGUAUUUAUCAAACAUGGACAAGCUUAUUUUUAAUCACUGUGUUGAAAGAUAAAGGUGACCCUAGAAGCAUGGCCAUAAACUACCUCAAGAAUGGACAUCUUCAACCAAGUCAAUUAGCAGCAACUGUCCAAAUAUCUGGUUCAUAUGCUGUCUGUAGCCUCCUUGACCCAAACUACCAACUCUGAAACAUGAAAGAGUAGAGGAAGAAGAAGAGGAAGACUGGGUUGUUCUGUUUUAGACACAGGCUGAGUCAUUGCAGCCAGAUUCAAUCAGUGCAAAAGAGAAGGAUUUGGAACAAUUUGGUUAGUUUCCUUCCACCCAAAUGUCUAGACACCCGAAGGGGUGUGCAGCCCGACCUCUCGCUAUUCCUGUUAAAGGCUUCUCUUCAUGGAAAAUGUCAUUGGUUAUAUGGUUUGUUUGUAUUAUCUUUGAACUUAAUGUAUACUAUUCUACCUUUGUCAACAUUCAUUCCCAUUUUCUGUAAGCUUUAAACUAUCCCAGAUGCUGAGUAAAUGUGCAUUUGCUGGAAUGUGGCUGGCCUCUGUAAUCUGGUUGCACAAUCACUACUCUCCCUCUCCAAAUUCUGUAUAAAGUCAAUUUUAAGUAUGCAUUGUCUGGGGCAUUUAUAUCCUGUAGCUUAAGACAGAUGCCAAAAGUGUAAAAAGGUAACCUUGAUCUAUUAUUAUUGGCGUCUAUGCAGCUUAAAAGGAAAAUGGACUCUCAAGUCUGAAUGCUUAUCUGCUGUUCUCAAUCACUUAAUGCUCCAAAGCGUAUGCUGUGAAUGUCAAUUCUUUAGUUGGCUGUCAAGGUACUUCCCACUAGGCAUUUAGCUUCCAGUAUGUUCUGUUCAGAAAAUACCCAGAGCUUCAAGGAUGUCAAUUUGGGUAUCAAAUAUAUGAAUCCAGAGCAAAGUCAUCUGAUACAUAGUUUUCUUCAGCACCGUACUGUGAUCACCUUCCCUGUGUCCAAACUCUGC